rnacentral:lncRNA from 1 species
AUGAUGCAGGGUUUGAGCAACAGAAGAUUCUCAGGGGAGGUGAACUUCACGGCUGGGUCCUGGUUUGGUUUUUGCCACAUGAAGAAGGUCCAGCCCGAGAUAAAGAAAGAACAUGAGCUAAAGUGCCAAGAUGUGGAGUGUGAGGCAUAUGCAGAGAAUGGGCCACAGAACAGCUCUGGCAGAGCAGGCAGUGCUCCAACCUGGAGUCGGAAGUCCUUCCAUGCCACUGUUCAAUUCUACGAUUGGGGUGUUAACCUCAAGGUUAUUGAAUCGCUCAUCUAA